rnacentral:rRNA from 1 species
GGAUUAGUGGCGAACGGGUGAGUAACACGUGGGCAAUCUGCCCUUCACUCUGGGACAAGCCCUGGAAACGGGGUCUAAUACCGGAUAACACCUCCACUCUCCUGAGUGGAGGUUAAAAGCUCCGGCGGUGAAGGAUGAGCCCGCGGCCUAUCAGCUUGUUGGUGAGGUAAUGGCUCACCAAGGCGACGACGGGUAGCCGGCCUGAGAGGGCGACCGGCCACACUGGGACUGAGACACGGCCCAGACUCCUACGGGAGGCAGCAGUGGGGAAUAUUGCACAAUGGGCGAAAGCCUGAUGCAGCGACGCCGCGUGAGGGAUGACGGCCUUCGGGUUGUAAACCUCUUUCAGCAGGGAAGAAGCGAAAGUGACGGUACCUGCAGAAGAAGCGCCGGCUAACUACGUGCCAGCAGCCGCGGUAAUACGUAGGGCGCGAGCGUUGUCCGGAAUUAUUGGGCGUAAAGAGCUCGUAGGCGGCUUGUCACGUCGGUUGUGAAAGCCCGGGGCUUAACCCCGGGUCUGCAGUCGAUACGGGCAGGCUAGAGUUCGGUAGGGGAGAUCGGAAUUCCUGGUGUAGCGGUGAAAUGCGCAGAUAUCAGGAGGAACACCGGUGGCGAAGGCGGAUCUCUGGGCCGAUACUGACGCUGAGGAG